UGGUUAGAUGCGUGUUUGAGUCCGGGCUUGGUGGCGUUUGGUAUGUCCGAUGAACUUGAUGGAUUUGAAGAAGACUAGAGAAUGGCUGGAUGGUAACUGGAUGAUUUCGAUGGGCAUUUGGUCUCUUGUUUCACUGAUGCAAAGAAGGUGUUGAUUGUUUUGCUUUUGAAGGAAGGGGUUUUAGGCCUGGUUUGUUAUUUGUUUUUAUGUUUUAUGCUUUUGUUUGCUUCAUUUUCUGGUUUUGUUUUCUGUUUUGUGCAUUUUCUUUUUUAUUUUGAUUAUGUGCUUUUCAAGGCACCAUUUGGGUGACCAAUAAGGGAUGGUGUAGUGCCCCGAAAUCUUUAACUUUUGUUUUGGUUCAAUUUUGUCAAUAGUCGGUAUCUAGUUUAGUGGGUAAGUGUUUUUAAUGUGGGUUGAAGGUCAUUGGUUUGAGUCUUUGCGUGGGAAGGGGGUGUUUUUAUUUUGUUAAAUAUGGGGCUGCUUAGUUCGAGUCUCUGUUGUUUUGAUUUUCACAAUUUGUUCUUUGUUUCUUCUUUUUUUAUGUUUUGUUUUAUUUUUCUUCCAAGUCCCCACGCCGCCAUUCUUCUCUAGACUUGUUCUUGGAUUUUCUUUGUUUCUUUUUGUUCUUUCAUUCUUUCUUUUCACAACAUCGCUCCCAGUCCUUUUGUUGUGCAUUUCGUUCUCGACGUCAGUGGCUCGUGUAGGUGCUCUUGAAUCUUGUUUUUGUAUUGUAAGUGGGGUUUAUGCUUGCUGUUUUCUUUUCUUGUUUAAUUUUAGGUUGGAAGCAUUUUGCGUGUUAAUCAAUUGCGUUUUGGGUGAGGUUGGAGAGGCGAUUGAUCCCUUGGCGAUUUAGAAUUGUUGAUGAACUGCUGUUUUCUAGAAGAUGAGAAGUGCAUUUGAGGUUUAAUGUCAGAUAUUGAUGUUAGUACGUUGAAGUUAAUUUUGAAAACCGACUCUCUGUUUGACUAGUAUUUUUAAGUAAUUCUCAGACUUAAGCUGAUUGGUGUAAUCGGGAGCUCAGUUAAUGUCAUAAUCUAUUUGUUUUAUUUAAAUUUUGGUAUUUGGGUUCUGUAAAUUUUGGACUCUCUGGACUUUUUUUUUACUGUUUAGAUUUAAAACUUUGUUUUCG
rnacentral:lncRNA from 1 species